GACGAACGCUGGCGGCGUGCCUAAUACAUGCAAGUAGAACGCUGAAGCGAGGAGCUUGCUCUUCUUGGAUGAGUUGCGAACGGGUGAGUAACGCGUAGGUAACCUGCCUGGUAGCGGGGGAUAACUAUUGGAAACGAUAGCUAAUACCGCAUAAAAUGGAUUAUCGCAUGAUAAUCCAUUGAAAGGUGCAAGUGCAUCACUACCAUAUGGACCUGCGUUGUAUUAGCUAGUUGGUGGGGUAACGGCUCACCAAGGCGACGAUACAUAGCCGACCUGAGAGGGUGAUCGGCCACACUGGGACUGAGACACGGCCCAGACUCCUACGGGAGGCAGCAGUAGGGAAUCUUCGGCAAUGGACGGAAGUCUGACCGAGCAACGCCGCGUGAGUGAAGAAGGUUUUCGGAUCGUAAAGCUAUGUUGUAAGAGAAGAACGAGUGUGAGAGUGGAAAGUUCACACUGUGACGGUAGCUUACCAGAAAGGGACGGCUAACUACGUG
rnacentral:rRNA from 1 species